GUUUUCUUUCAAAUUCCUACUUCCUGAAACGGAGGCCGUUUAUGAGAAACAGUAUAUUUCAGGGAGGUUGUGCUAUAAUUAACUUUUUUCAGAGUUAGAUUUGCUAGUUUUAUCGUGUAUUUCCUCUUCUUCGAGAUAAAGGAAGUUCUCCUAAAUCAGAAGUGGAUUGAAAUCUAAUAAACGCAGAUUUUGGGUACCUCAGGCUUGAAGGGGCUCUUUUAUUGAGAAUCGAUGUCUUCUCCUAGGUAAUUGAUCACUGUAGACCCAGGGACACUCGACUCAUCAUCGAGGGAGGGUAAUCAUCAUGAAUAAUCAAAAAGCUGUAGCUGUGCUACUGCAAGAGUGCAAGCAAGUGCUGGACCAGCUCUUGUUGGAGGCGUCAGAUGUGUUAGAGGAGGACAAGAGGGAGGACCAGCGGUGCAGAGCUUCACUCCCCAGCGAGUUAAGAACCCUGAUCCAGGAGGCAAAGGAAAUGAAGUGGCCCUUCGUGCCUGAAAAGUGGCAGUACAAACAAGCUGUGGGCCCAGAGGACAAAACAAACCUGCAGGAUGUGAUUGGCGCCGGGUUGGAGCAGUUACUGGCGUCCCUGAAAGCCUCCAUCCUCGCCCGGGAGUGUGCCACCGCAGCUGCCAUUGUGUUCCUGAGCGACCGGUUCCUGUACGGGCUCGACGUCUCGGGCGAACUCCUGCAGGUCGCCCAAGGGCUGCACAAGCUGCAGCCAGCAACGCCAAUUGCCCCGCAGGUGGUUAUUCGCCAAGCCCGAAUCUCGAUGCACUCAGAUUUACAGAUUUGCUAUAGUGUGACAUGGAAAUCAAGGUCACGUGGGAAACUUUUAAAAGCAGAGUAUAUCCUGAGCAGUCUGAUAAGCAACAGUGGAGCAACAGGUACCUGGCUGUACAGAAAUGAAAGCGACAAGGUCCUGGUGCAGUCGGUCUGCAUACAGAUCAGAGGGCAAAUUCUGCAAAAGUUAGGGAUGUGGUACGAAGCAGCAGAGUUAAUAUGGGCCUCAAUCAUAGGAUAUCUGACACUUCCUCAGCCAGAUAAAAAGGGCAUUUCCACAUCACUAGGUAUACUGGCAGAUAUCUUUGUUUCCAUGAGCAGGAAAGAUUAUGAAAAGUUUAAAAGCAAUCCUGAAAUUAACUUGGGCUUGCUGAAGGAGUUUGACCACCAUUUGCUGUCAGCCGCUGAAGCCUGCAAGCUGGCAGCCGCCUUCAGUCCCUACACGCCUCUCUUCGUGCUCACGGCUAUGAAUAUACGUGGCACAUGCCUGUUGUCAUAUAGUAGUUCUAAUGACUGUCCUCCAGGAAUGAAAAAUUCAUAUCUGUGUGAAGCCAAAGAGGCCUUUGAAAUUGGCCUCCUUACCAAGAAAUGUGAUGAACCAGUUACUGGAAAACAGGAGCUCCAUAGUUUCCUCAAAGCUGCUUUCGGUCUCACCACGGUGCACCAGAGGCUCUAUGGGGAGAUGGAGACGGUCCACACAGCAAGUCAGCUCUGUAGUGAAGCUAUGGGAAAGCUGUAUACUUUCAGUAUUUCCUCCAGAAGUCAGGAGAGAGAAGCUGUCUCUCAGGAAGUCAUGUCUCUUAUCACCAGGGUGAAGGAACAGUUACAAGUUCAAAGCUUCUCAAAUUUAGAUGACAAGUCUUAUGUUCCAGAGGGUUUCAAGUGUGGGUUGGAGAAACCCAUCUUGCAUGGGCAAGUGGAUUUCCAAAAAAUUAUUGAAACCUAUUCACAGCACCACACUUCAGUGUGCGAAAUAUUUGAAAGCACUUGUGGAAACAACAAAAAUAAACAGGAAGAUACAAAAACAGGAGUCUGUAUCACUGAUCUAAAAACAGAAACAAAAAACAUAGAUACUGUGAGUACUACUGAGGACAAACCACGUUUUGAAAAAGGCAUGGUAAUAUCUUCCUCCCAAAUGGCUAGGAGUGGUUGGGAGAAACUCAGGAGGGUAGGAAGGAGAAACCUGGCCAGUUCUGAUGCAUUUCGAGUCUCCGUGGAUGAAGAUGUGGAGACUGAGGCUGAGUCAACACACCAUAGCAGUGGUGGGGGAGCUGUUUUGAACAAGUCUCUGAGCGACAGCCAGAGCUCCAGUUCUUGGAGCAAGUUAUCAGGGUGUAGUUCUUCUACAAGCUGGGAGGAAGUGAAUUACCAUGUUGGUGAUAUGUCAGCCAGAAGAGAGCCUAGCAAGGAAGAGCAUCAUGUGGACACUCAGUGUUCCACUGCCCUGGCAGAAGAACUGGAGAUCGAUGGGGAGAGCAGAGCUGUACAUCCACUGUCUUCAGAGCUUCACGGGCUCUCUCUCCAGGUGUCCAGGGAUGACAGUUUAGAGUCUUCUCAAAGUCAACUACCCAAGCCCAUGCCCUUGACAACUUUUCCUCCUCAUAACACAACAGGCACUUUGUUGGCCUCAGGUGCAGGGCUGUUAAAAGGAGCUCCAGAAGGUAUGUGGGAAGCCGGAAAUGUGGGGUCCAGAGAUACUUCUGCUCAUUCCAGACCCUCAUUUGCUUCUGCUUCUUGGUCUUCUGAUUCUGGUUGGCCCAAGAACAUGGCCACAUAUCCUCCGAUCCAAGAAGAAGAAACCUUUGAAAUAAUUGAUAAGUUUCCAGAAAUCAACUGUGAUGCCAAAGACAGUCAUGAAGAAGAGAAGAGAGAAGAAAUCAAAGGAGACACAGGUCCCACAUUUAAAGAUAGCCCCUGCUGGGUUGACGCAGAAGAAGAAACAGCAGAGAGAGCAGAAGAUAGGCCCGUAGACUUCCACAUAGUUGUGGACGAGCCUCUGGGCAAAAGUUCCAUGAUAGCAUGUAGCACUUUCACUCCUCAUUGGCUUGUUCAAAAUCCUGACUCAGGGAAAAGUGGUGGCUCAGUCAAAGAGCAGGGCAUUGACCCUGAUGCCUCCACGGUGGAUGAGGAGAGCCAACUGCUGGACAGCACAGAUGUUCACGCCACAAGCACACAUGGCUCUCACAGAUCAUGUGCUCUGAGGCAGCUGCAUGGUCAGGGAGCCCAGAUCCCCAAUUCCUCUGUAAGUGGUAACACUUCCAUCCCUGUCCUCAGCGAGGACUGCACUACCACAGAGGAAGCAAAUGAACCUGGAAACCUGCUAAACUGCAGCCAGAGCUCCAGCUCGUCCUUGGCAUGGUGGUUGGAAUCACCUGCAGUUUCCAGUGGUUCUUCUGAGGGAGAAAACCCAUGGUCCUUUCUGAAUUCCAGUGGAAGUUCUUUUGUUUCAUUGCCAGGAAUGACAACACAAAAGAUCCUUAAGGCUCGCACCCUGCAGCCUGAUGACUUUGAAAAACUCUUGGCAGGGGUGAGGCAUGAUUGGCUGUUCCAGAGACUGGAGAAUACAGGAGUUUUUAAGUCCAGGCAACUCCAUGGAGCACAUAAUGCUCUUUUGUUAAAAUAUUCCAAGAAAUCUGAACUGUGGACAGCCCAGGAAACUGUUGUGUAUUUGGGGGACUACCUGAAUGUGAAGAAGAAAGGCAGACAAAGGAAUGCAUUUUGGGUACAUCAUCUUCAUCAAGAAGAAACUCUGGGGAGAUAUGUUGGGAAAGAAUAUAAGGAGCAGAAGGGGCUCUGGCACCACUUCAUCGAUGUGGAGAGGCAGAUGACUGCACAGCACUAUGUGACAGAAUUUAACAAGAGACUUUAUGAACAAAAUAUUCACACACAGAUAUUCUACAUACCAUCCUCAGUAUUACUGAUUUUAGAGGGCAAGACAAUAAAAGGAUGUGUCAGUGUGGAACCUUACAUACUGGGAGAAUUUGUAAAAUUGUCAAAUAACACGAAAGUGGUGAAAACAGAAUACAAAGCCACAGAAUAUGGCUUGGCUUACGGCCACUUUUCUUAUGAGUUUUCCAAUCAUAGAGAUGUUGUGGUCGAUUUACAAGUGCAUUUACACUUGUGAGAGGUCUGAGGGAAGAUGGUGCAUUUUGAUGGCCACCACAGUCUGCCCUUGCACCACACAGAUCUGGUGCUUCACAGGUUUGGGGAUCAGCGCCUCCAUGAGCUCACCGGAAGUUUACAGAAAGAUUGGGACAAUUACACCCUAUAUCUUCUCAUCCUUGAAGGCUCACUUCAACCAACACCACCUUCAGAAAACCCUCCCUGAUACCCUUCAUUCUCAUUCCCUCCCUUCCCACAACCUAGAAGUAAAGAAUGUCUGAGCUCUCCAGCCUUCAGAAAACCGUUCUGCAAUAAGGUGGGUUGUGGGUAGAUAAGUGGAUGGACAGAACGAUGGAGAAAGUUGGAAGGAAAGAACAGCAAAGUUCCCCUCAGCCCCACCUCUGUUUUUAUAAGGAAAACUAUUUUGCUUCAUGAUGUUUACUUUUUUCUAACUUCUUCCCCCUAUUCUUUAAUUUCUCAUAGCAAAAUUGAUAUUAGGAAAUUUUCAAGUAAUUUUUAGAAAAAUUCCAUUAUUGAACUAAAUAAUUAAUUUAUAUUAUAAUCUUUUGUGUGUAGAGUUGUGAAAUGACAAUAUUUUGAAAGCUAAGUUUGAGGAGUUGAGUUCAACAUAAGGAGACAAUUUCUGUCCCUUCGAACAUCAGAAAUGUCAGGCUUUUGUUACUGUCUUUCAGCACUGCUAUUGUUUUGAGGAUGAUGCUUGUUCUGUGCAGUUUGGUUAUACAGAUGUCCUCUGCCUGAACAGUUCAGUAGAAACUAGGUGUAAAGUGUAAGAAGCAAGAGAGAGUGAGAGAAAAAAAAAAUAAAUCUCUUUAUUAUGGUGCAUAAACCUUCAGUGUGAGGGAGCUUUGCAGCUGCACAAGGAGAAAAAUGCAUUCAAAACUAUAAUGCCAGUGUGAAUAAUCCUUUCUCAAAUGCUGCUUGCAGACUGCUCCAGCUUUGUCAGGUGAACUUGAACCGGGCCAUCAGAUUGGCCCCCAUUCCCAUUGCACACUCUGUCUAUCACCCCAGGGCAUUCACCAUCUUGACUGUUGUUUAAAGAGAACAAGCAAUCCGUCAUUGAACCAGGGAGUCACUUUCUCAUAGAAAAGUAAAAUCAGCAUGUGACACUACUCAGCCCUAGUGUUUUGCAGAUUAAAAUGAUACAUGGCGACUCACGUGUUACUAGGAAGAUUAAGUCAGUUAUCUUGUUCUGCUGCCCAGACAAAAGAAUUCCCCUCAAGCAGUAAGGGGAGCUUUACAGAAACUGAAAAAGUUGGACUCAACUAUACGGUGGUAAAUCAGAGAAUCUAACAAGAAGGCAGAAAAAGAAUGUUACUUUACAUCUAGGCACCUUCCCUGAAAAAAUGGUACAAAGAAGAAUCCAUCACGAAAGGAGGAGCUAUUAAAUCUUUGUACAAGCCUCUGCUGUUUGAGAUGCCAAUUUUAUUACCAGAGAUGGGCACGCAAUUUAUUGUCUGACUGCCUUAGCAAUUGAUUUAAAUAUGGUGAAAUAAAUGAGCAGCCGCUGGCCCUGGGGCGGUUAGCUUCAUGAGAGUAGGUUGCAAAUCCUGCAGCUACAGUAUCUAGUUAUUAACACUGUUAUUCCAUUGUGUGAUCUACACAGUAAUAAAAUUUUUAAUGAAUCUCAUACAGAAAUGAGUUCACAAUGGAAGGUUGGGAUUACAGCCUUUAGUUUAACAAGCUGAGGUAAACAUUUAUCAUAUUACAGAAAAUAGUAUUUUUAAAUAAUUGAAUCUGUAACUGUUAUAUUUGUUUUCAAAAGUAAUUUUCAAAAGGAAGAAGACCCAAGUGAGUAUCAAACUGUUCAAGAUUAAAUAAGUGCAUUAAUUAAAGUUAACAUGAGAAAAAUUCAUUUCUCUCUAACUUUUUUAACUUAAAAUGAUAUUCAAGUUUAAUUUGUGUUUUGCCAUUUAAGCCAUACACUGAAAAUGACACAGGUUAAAGAGAAGGAAUUCUGUUUUCUUUUAGGUUCUCAUGAAUUUUAGGCAACACUGUUGUUAGAAAUGUCUUCACUAUGUACAUUUUGCCCAUACUUUGACAAGCCAAAUUCUUCCUUAAAGUACAGACCAUUUUUCUAGUCAAUGGGGUUUCAAAUCAAAGAAUGCCCUAUUUUGUUACUUUUAACUAAAUUUUCAAACAUUGCUUAUCUAUAUCCAUCUAUAUAUUCUAUACAUGUUCUAUAUGAAUAAAUGAUAGUGCUGGAGUAUGCAAGUUUUCUCUGCCAAGGACAGACACCAGAUUUAACCCUCUUUUCCUACACAAAUCACCAAAAAGGAGAGGGACUAUUUAAACACUUUUGUUAGACAUUUGACAUGGUCUUUUCCAAAUAACAGAAGGACCCACAGAGACUGGCUUUGAAGGGCCGUGUUCCCAACGUGGUUUCAAUAGGGAACAUUCUCUCUGGGCUGAGCACCUGGAUCGUGUGCAGCGUUCCCUUGGGCUGGACAGCAGUCACUGAGCCACCUGCAUCGGAGAGGAUGGUAUAUGAGGGACGGGAGCCUCUGGCCAGCUGUAUCCUUCCCCAGCCUCCGGGGCAUGUUAGUGCAGGAGCCAGGCCAGGCCCGACCAGCACACAGGCAUCAUCUGAGUGGCUGGCCUCUUUGCCCUACCAUGGACAUGUUAGCAAGGUCCUUCAAUGGGUGUAGAUAAAGGUUAAGUGCAGUGGAGCCUGGGGCCGUUGAAACAUGCCUUGUGCAAAGACUCAAAGCCAUAAAUUGUACUGACAAAGGCAAUUUAAAAUAUCAAAGUCCUAGGUCUUUCAGACGAGCACCAAGGAAGACGAUUAGUGAGAGCUCUGCAAUUCAGCGUGACAUCGACAACUACUGCAAAGAGACCCGAGCUCAUCCCCUCCUGCCUGCUCUCCUCGCUCCAUCCCGGCAGCAUGGCCCCUGCCCUGUCUGAGCUGAGCAAGGACAGUCAACAAACAAAAAAUUAUUCCUAAGCAUCCUGAGACAACAUGAUCACAUAUAAAGGCUAAUUAAACUUGGCAUCUCUAAAACUCUGCAUUGCUAAGUAUCAGCUUUUAUUACAUUUCACUCUCGGUUACCAGAGGGAAGGGGAAAAAUGCAAACAAUCAAAAAGAAGCCUUUUGUUUAAGAUCCGUUCUACAUAGGCCAGUGACACAUUGUUGUUGUUCAGUGGCUAACACAGUAGCUGAUGAUUGGGAGACAGAAAGCUCCAAAUUGCCCUGGAUGUGAAGAGAUGCCAGAUUUUGUCAGUAACUUAAAAAUUAAAUUAAAAGACAGAUCAAGAUGAAUUAAGUGCUUUGGUCACUUGGUAUAUGUCAACUAUUUUAGUUCCUUCGUGAUUUUUGAAGAUGUGCCCAAAAUGCCUUGCUCAGAACAUUUACCAACCAGAGUGUAUCUCAAAUGCUAAAAUGGUGAAUUGAAAAAAAAGGUGAAUUGAAAAAGAAAAGUCAAUACUUUAUAAAUUUUAAAAAUCAGUCCAGUCAUCAAGCAAAUAUUGUUUUCAUGAAGCAUUUUAUAGUUCAGUACAGCUAGCUCAUGCAAUUGCUAGAAGAGAGAAGAGACCCUGCCAAGUGAUCUGUGUAUUUAUUGUAGUGUUUCUACUGGAAAGACUAAAUAUAUAUUCCACCCUGCUGACAGUCGCUUCCCUUUUGCCCCUGCAAAAUAACCCUACAGUUAUUUUCUCUUUCAAACGCUAACAACAUCAUGUUUCUUGUGAAAAGAACUAAGACUCAGAGAGCCAAAGGCACCUAAGUCUAAAUUCAGAAGUAUGACUUUUCAGGAAAUACACCCACUUUUUUUUUUUUUUUUUUUUUUUGGAGAAAACUGUUUAAAAAUCCAGACUGAAUAGCUGCUUCUCAGUUGGAAAGGUCACUUUAAGUGCACUGUCCACAACAUUAACUAGAAAUGACCCUUGUCAUCACUCUCAGCAUGUGGGACAGAAGAAACAAAUGAAAAGGCACACCCAAAAGAUGGUUUCUAGAAUAGGCCACUUGGAUAAUAAAUGAGACGCUGUGCUCGUGGACCACAUGGGCUCCUGAGGCAUUGUUCCCACUGUGAGAGCAUGCUGGGUGGCUUCGAGAUUACAAGGCUGCAGAGAACUGCAGCAUCUCCACUGGACCAUCAUCCCAAAGUGAUGAAAACACUGUCUAAAGUUUCCCAGCUAAGAACACUCCUUCAGUAAUGUAUUUCAGAUUGUGAUGUUGUAUUUUGGUGAUUGUAUAUUCCUUCCUAUGCACAUUUUUAGGAGAAUAAAGCAAGGAAAAUGUUUUAAUUAUAUGAUGUGCACACAGUUUUUUCCCCCUGGUAUUUAGCUGUUGUCGGGAAGGACUUCACUAAGCAGAAUGUUCUUUGUCCCUGCUACAGUAAACAGUUAAAUUAUAGAGCCAGCUGGUUGCUUGCCAGGGAGGUUGGAGAGGAAAGAGCAUCCUGUCUUCACUUUUCUUCCCAUGUUACCAAACUGCUUCUUAUAGACCCCCAUCCUCAUCUCCUGCACCCUCUCCUCUUCCUCCCUCCCUACCUCUCUAAAGCCAAAAACAUUAAAAUUAAAAAUCGAGAACUUCUGGCACUGAACUGAUGGGUGGGGCUACACCGAUUUUCUGGUCUUUCCUCUUCUGGGAAAUAACUUUUAAACAUCAGCAGGUGGUGACGUCACUUCUAGUUCUACCUGCAGUCACUCUCAUUUGGCCUCCUUGAAGGGAAGAGUCUGGUGAAAUCACAGGUAUGUGCCCUGGCUCUGCCACUUACUAGAAGAAUGGUACCUAGCCUCUCAGAGCCUUAGCGUUCCCAUAUGUAAAAUGGGUGUAAAAAGACACACCUUGUGAUGUUGUGAGGAUGGAGAUAAUGCAUGUGAAGGACCUAGCUCAGUGGCUGGCACAUUUUGGUGUUCAGUAAGUGAUAGAAGUUUGUUAUCAUUAUUAUCUAAACUCUUUCUCCUUUGCAGUCCUGCUGAAUUCAUUUCCCCAGCCCCACUCUCACUAACUUUAGUGGCCAAGGCCACUUAACUGCAGGUAACCUCAGACUCUCCCCCCAGAUGCAGGGGAUAGUCUUGCUUUUAAGAAGUCAUUUCUUUUUUUUGAAAAUUUUUAUUGAAGUAUAGUUGAUUUAUGAUGUGUUAGUUUCUGGUAUACAGCAAAGUGA